GUCCACUCAUUGUUGAUUACAUUAAAGAAAACAUCAAAAUACUCUAGCUUCUGUACAAAAUCAGUUUGUAAAACAAGUCACAAUCUGAACGAAAAUGUCAAAGGAAGCCUCGGAAAGAAACAAAUAACGUGGGUGUUUUAAAGCCAAAGGAUUUUACCUAAAGACUAAGAUGAUACUUUGGAAUGCCGUGCAUUUGACCGGGAUACAAUGUGUACCCAACUGGUCAACAGUUGACCGGGAUCCAAUGUGUAUCCAGCGGGUCAACAGUUGACCGGGAUCCCAUGUGUCCCCAGCUGGUCAACAGUUGACCGGGAUCCCAUGGGAACCCAGCGGGUCAACAGUUGACCAGGAUCCCAUGUGUCCCCAGCGGGUCAACAGUUGACCGGGAUCCAAUGGGUCCCCAGCGGGUCAACAGUUGACCGGGAUCCAAUGGGUCCCCAGCUGGUCAACUGUUGACCGGGAUCCCAUGUGUCCCCAGCGGGUCAACAGUUGACCGGGAUCCCAUGGGUCCCCAGCUGGUCAACAGUUGACCGGGAUCCCAUGGGUCCCCAGCUGGUCAACAGUUGACCGGGAUCCCAUGGGUCCCCAGCUGGUCAACAGUUGACCGGGAUCCCAUGGGUCCCCAGCUGGUCAACAGUUGACAGGGAUCCCAUGGGUCCCCAGCUGGUCAACAGUUGACAGGGAUCCCAUGGGUCCCCAGCUGGUCAACAGUUGACAGGGAUCCCAUGUGUACCCAACUGGUCAACCGUAGACUACUAUUCAUCCAGGCUUAAUCGACGAAACAACCGCACACGUCCAGCUGGGAAACUAAGAGCAUGGUUUUCUCCUCCGUCAGGAUUGUACCAACCUGUUUUGGGGUCAACUUCAGGAAAUUUACUAAGAAUGUUAUAUUUCAUUUUCCAGAUUUUUUUUAUUUUUAACAUUCUCUUAUAUUGGAAGUCGACUUAAGGGAAUGAAUCAAAAUUGAGCCAACCAAAAACGGUUUGAACACACAUCCCUGUUUCUCAUUAAUCUAAAGUGCAGAAAAUAAAGAACUUUUACAAACCCAGUCACUGGGCUGAUCUUUUCUUCGACAGCUAUGACCGUUUAAUGGUAUUUUAUAAAAGAACCAUUUUCUUAUGGUACAAGACCCACAUGAUGCAUAAGAAUACCACAUUUUCUAAGCGCGUCUUCGAGUUACACUGAAUUUUUAAAAACCACCCUCGCAUAUGAGUGGCAUAUAAAAGAAUCCCUGUGAUAUAUUAUAUGUAGUUAAACUGUUACAUCAAGUCAUAUUUUCCAAAGUCAGCUUUUCAUCUCAACAAUACCCUGCCUAGAAAAAAAAAACAACAACACUGGCUUAGGGAGGAGGGGGGGGGG
ensembl:lncRNA